rnacentral:rRNA from 1 species
UGGGGAAUAUUGCACAAUGGGCGCAAGCCUGAUGCAGCCAUGCCGCGUGUGUGAAGAAGGCCUUCGGGUUGUAAAGCACUUUCAGCGAGGAGGAAGGUGGUGAGCUUAAUACGCUCAUCAAUUGACGUUGCUCGCAGAAGAAGCACCGGCUAACUCCGUGCCAGCAGCCGCGGUAAUACGGAGGGUGCAAGCGUUAAUCGGAAUUACUGGGCGUAAAGCGCACGCAGGCGGUUUGUUAAGUCAGAUGUGAAAUCCCCGGGCUCAACCUGGGAACUGCAUUUGAAACUGGCAAGCUAGAGUCUCGUAGAGGGGGGUAGAAUUCCAGGUGUAGCGGUGAAAUGCGUAGAGAUCUGGAGGAAUACCGGUGGCGAAGGCGGCCCCCUGGACGAAGACUGACGCUCAGGUGCGAAAGCGUGGGGCAGCAAACAGGAUUAGAUACCCUGGUAGUCCACGCUGUAAACGAUGUCGAUUUGGAGGUUGUGCCCUUGAGGCGUGGCUUCCGGAGCUAACGCGUUAAAUCGACCGCCUGGGGAGUACGGCCGCAAGGUUAAAACUCAAAUGAAUUG